rnacentral:pre_miRNA from 1 species
UGGACAGAUUAUUGUAUUCGACUGUAUUCACGGCGUGAAACAUGGGAUUACACUGUUUUUAAACGGAAAGUGAAUCAAUUAAUAUAAUAGACUCCU